rnacentral:snoRNA from 1 species
UUGAUGAUGAGAAAGGAUAGCUGAACUAUGUGGCAUGAUUCACAUUAACCGCAACAAACCAAUCCAAAUAGGUCCUUCUGA